AAAUUGAAGAGUUUGAUCAUGGCUCAGAUUGAACGCUGGCGGCAGGCCUAACACAUGCAAGUCGAGCGGUAGCACAGAGGAGCUUGCUCCUUGGGUGACGAGCGGCGGACGGGUGAGUAAUGUCUGGGAAACUGCCUGAUGGAGGGGGAUAACUACUGGAAACGGUAGCUAAUACCGCAUAACCUCGCAAGAGCAAAGAGGGGGACCUUCGGGCCUCUCGCCAUCAGAUGUGCCCAGAUGGGAUUAGCUAGUAGGUGAGGUAAUGGCUCACCUAGGCGACGAUCCCUAGCUGGUCUGAGAGGAUGACCAGCCACACUGGAACUGAGACACGGUCCAGACUCCUACGGGAGGCAGCAGUGGGGAAUAUUGCACAAUGGGCGCAAGCCUGAUGCAGCCAUGCCGCGUGUGUGAAGAAGGCCUUCGGGUUGUAAAGCACUUUCAGCGAGGAGGAAGGCGGUAAGGUUAAUAACCUUAUCGAUUGACGUUACUCGCAGAAGAAGCACCGGCUAACUCCGUGCCAGCAGCCGCGGUAAUACGGAGGGUGCAAGCGUUAAUCGGAAUGACUGGGCGUAAAGCGCACGCAGGCGGUCUGUUAAGUUGGAUGUGAAAUCCCCGGGCUUAACCUGGGAACUGCAUUCAAAACUGACAGGCUAGAGUCUUGUAGAGGGGGGUAGAAUUCCAGGUGUAGCGGUGAAAUGCGUAGAGAUCUGGAGGAAUACCGGUGGCGAAGGCGGCCCCUGGACAAAGACUGACGCUCAGGUGCGAAAGCGUGGGGAGCAAACAGGAUUAGAUACCCUGGUAGUCCACGCUGUAAACGAUGUCGAUUUGGAGGUUGUGCCCUUGAGGCGUGGCUUCCGGAGCUAACGCGUUAAAUCGACCGCCUGGGGAGUACGGCCGCAAGGUUAAAACUCAAAUGAAUUGACGGGGGCCCGCACAAGCGGUGGAGCAUGUGGUUUAAUUCGAUGCAACGCGAAGAACCUUACCUACUCUUGACAUCCACAGAAUUUGGUAGAGAUACCUUAGUGCCUUCGGGAACUGUGAGACAGGUGCUGCAUGGCUGUCGUCAGCUCGUGUUGUGAAAUGUUGGGUUAAGUCCCGCAACGAGCGCAACCCUUAUCCUUUGUUGCCAGCGAUUCGGUCGGGAACUCAAAGGAGACUGCCGGUGAUAAACCGGAGGAAGGUGGGGAUGACGUCAAGUCAUCAUGGCCCUUACGAGUAGGGCUACACACGUGCUACAAUGGCGUAUACAAAGAGAAGCGACCUCGCGAGAGCAAGCGGACCUCAUAAAGUACGUCGUAGUCCGGAUUGGAGUCUGCAACUCGACUCCAUGAAGUCGGAAUCGCUAGUAAUCGUAGAUCAGAAUGCUACGGUGAAUACGUUCCCGGGCCUUGUACACACCGCCCGUCACACCAUGGGAGUGGGUUGCAAAAGAAGUAGGUAGCUUAACCUUCGGGAGGGCGCUUACCACUUUGUGAUUCAUGACUGGGGUGAAGUCGUAACAAGGUAACCGUAGGGGAACCUGCGGUUGGAUCACCUCCUUA
rnacentral:rRNA from 1 species